UAUAUAUAUAUAAGCUCCAGUUUAUCACUCAGUUAGAGUUAAAAAGUGCUUGACUACACUAGCAGCGAUCAUGUCCUCUUCAGGUACCUCUUUUUUCUUACCCCUGUUCAUAUAAUGCUUAUAUUUUACUCUAUUUCCUGCUGUUUAAAUACUCCUAGUUAUUACUUUUUACACUCUCAAAUAAUUCUGUUUGAUUAAGGCUUAUAUUUUACUGUAUUUCCUGUUUGUUUAAAUACUUGUUAUUUCUUUUUAGACUCUGAAAUAAGCCUGCUUGAUUCUUCUCUUUUGGAUCAUCUCGAUCAAAUCGACAUAUCGGAUUUGGAUAACUAUGUUUUUUCGAGUUCACCUAGUUCUUCGCCCAGUUCUUCACCACCACCGGCUUUAGAGCGAGCUACAGGCAAGAACAUCCGUCUCUCUACACGCGAGAGACAGGCUUUGCUUUCUGCAAGGGCUUGCCCGGCGUCGGAGCUUCAGCUCCCCAGCGUGCCUCGGGCAAAAACCUGAAUCUGUCUGCCCGGGAGAGGGAACAGCUGAUCGCUGCGCACGCUCACAGUCCCGGCUUCGGAGCUUCAGCUCCCCAGCGUGCCUCGGGCAAAAACCUGAUUCUGUCCGCCCGGGAGAGGGAACACGCUCACAGUCCCGGCUUCGGAGCUUCAGCUCCCCAGCGUGCCUCGGGCAAAAACCUGAAUCUGUCUGCCCGGGAAAGGGAACAGCUGAUCGCUGCGCACGCUCACAGUCCCGGCUUCGGAGCUUCUCCUCCUGCAUCGGGGCCAAGACAUUCACAGCCCCUGCCUCGGAGAUCCAAUCUAGGGCAUCUCAGAAGGAAGCGUAGGAGGACCAUUAGGCCACUCAGGACAAGGCAAACACGCAGACAGCGAAACCAGCUCGCCUCCAUAGCUCUUCGAGCUGUCUCACUGUUCAGUGAAUUAGUACA